AUGGGUCGCCAACUGCCGCCGGCGGCGAAACCUCCGUCGAUCCCCUCCGCGGCCACCGCCACCGCCACCUACGCUACCGUCGCCGACGGAACCACCACCAUAUCCUCGCUCGGCCAAGACCAACUCCUCGAGAUCUUCCUCCGCUUGCCCAACCUGCUGGCGCUCGUCCGCGCCGCGCUCACCUGCCGCUCCUGGCUCGGCGCCGUCCGCUCCUCCCGGCCCUUCCGCCGCCUCUUCCGCGCCCUCCACCCGGCGCCACUCCUCGGGCUGUUCCUCGAAGUCGACGAAGAUGCCGCCCCCUCCUUCGCCCCCCUGCGCCGCACAGAUCCCGACGUCGCCGCCGCCCUCCGCCACGGCGACUUCUUCCUCACCUCCCUCCCCGCGUACACGGGCUGGGGCAUCGUGGACUGCCGCGACGGUUACAUCCUCCUGUGGAACUGGAACAUGAUGUCCGUCGCCGCCGUGAACCCCAUGACCUGGGCCGUGGACAUCAUCCCGUUGCCUGAGCCCGAGGAUGCCAAGGAAGGGUGUCUCCGUGGUUUCGCCUGGCUUGGUUCACGUCUGCUGUCUUGUGAGGAGAACCCCUGGUCGUUCUGGGUGGUCUGCGUCUGCGCCGACGUGUCUAGGGUUCGGGCUGCCGUCUUCUCGUCGGAAACAUGGGAUUGGGCCAUCCACCCGUGGGUUGAAAUCGGCGGUGACAACAGCCUCAAGUACAAUGCUGGCAUGCUGGUCCAUGGUUCCGUUUACUGGCCUUUCCAUGGCGAACACCGCAUGAUAAGGAUCAACACAGCCACCACCAUGGAGGUCACCAAUGUGGAUCUACCCUCGCAGGUGGAUGUGGAGAGGUGCAAUUACAAGGCUGGGGAGACUAAGGAUGGUCAGCUAUGCAUUGUCCAUGCAUCUCAUGAUGACUUCCUUCCUGCUCCAUGUUUGGAUCCGUGGUGUGGAUGGUGA
rnacentral:rRNA from 1 species